GUGGGGGUCAUCGACGUCUCAAGCGGCAAGGAGGACGGCGGCGCCGACGAGGAUCUUCCCCGACUGUGGCGACGACGGCACAGGUCUGGACCGCGUGGGCGGUGGGAUUUCGCGGGUGGAGUAGCUCACCCUCUACAAGUCCGACGAUUAAGGGGAUCGGCUAGAGUUGGCCGCGUAGGCGUAGAUUUGUGCAGCAACAACCUUUCUAUCCAUGAUGCAAGUGCGUUCAUCUCAUUCCACCACUCUCUGAUAUCGAUAGCCUCUUGUGCAUGAGCCGCCAGUGCAGGACUAUCAGACCAAUCUGCAAGAAGUAGCCAGACAGAGAUAGCACAAGGGCAUUGCAGAAUAAGGUGCAGGAGCGAUUCAUCGGCUUGGUCACAGAGGUUGCAGGCACCAUUUUGGGGAAUUCCACGCAUCGCCAAACUGUGGCAUGAAGCCAAAGCCACAUGAAGAAGCGGCACUUUGCUCGACCUAGGCUUGUCAAAUCUGAAGAGGGCGACAGAACCAAUAGUUGGGAGCGGUACGCACAUGCAGAAGUGUACACCUGAGAGCUGUUCCAAACCCCGCGGAUGGUGUCUUCGGGUAAUCUGGUUCAGAGGCAGCCAUGGCUUGGGUUCUGUGGGCACCGAAAUCAUGUGCAGACCAAGCAUACUAUUUUUUGAUUGAGGAUAACUUAUAUGCUGUGCAUGGAUCACCCAAGUAGUACGUUUUCAACUUAUUUUGUGACUGGUAAUAUCUGACGGGAUUUGGGGUGUAGCAAGAUGCAUGCAUGAAUUGUUUCUCUGUGCAGAAUGAUUUGUAACAAUCUAGUAGAUCACAAAUUUGAUCCAUUUACUAUCAAUCUGUAAUCUUUUCUUGACAUGCAGAUUCACCUGAAGAUCCAGAACAUUAAAAAAAAACGAGAAACAGAGAAAUUAGAAGACACGGCAGAUCCUGAGUCUAUCCUAGAAAGCAUUCGCAGCAAGGUUGCCCUGACUGAACGUGCGUCGUUUUGGGAUUUGGGGUGGAGUAAGAUGCAUGCAUGGAUGCUCUUUGUUUCUCUGUGCAGAUAGAUUUUGUACCAGGCCAAAUGUGAAGCAACAUCAAACCAUGCAAAACUUGGAUUUUCUGUACUCUGUUUCCUCUGCACAACAACAUGAUAAUCUAAGUAUUGUAGCCUGAUCAAUCACCAGACAAAGAUCCCACAGCAAAAUGCCAGCAUUGCACGAGGGCCAAUGCACACGAAAUACAUUGAUCUUUCACUGAACAAACUGGAUUCAAAACUAGUAUUUAAAUUUACAUGUUUUUUUCAACACUCUGCAGGGGGGAUAUGAAUUUACAUGUUCAAAACCUAUGGUAAAUGACGGGUGCAUCAAUUACUCUACAACUCACAAAUCUGCUGCAAUAGCUAACAGAAGGCAAGAACCUUCAACUGAACCUCUUUCAGUGCUAGGGGAAGACGAGGCAGCAGUGUCAGCUUGGGGAGGAAGAUCUUCAGCUGAGCACGUAUCAACACAUAUCAGCAGCCAAUAUUGCAAGGUAAAUAAAGUUUGAUACUGGUCGGUUCAUCUAUUAUAAAAAGCUCGAUUUCGAAACGUCAAAUGAAUCAGAAUAACCACGAUGACUAAACUUAGAAUACAUCUCUUGCAUUUGCUACUAGAAGAAGGGACAAGUGUAUAGAAGAAAGAAAACAUUACGCAGGCCAACCAUCAGUUUUAAAAAGCUUGAUUUUGUAUUCCUCAAAGAAAAUCUCAGGAAUAUCUUGUUUUAGCACCAUUUGACCAGCCCAUCAAAAAACAUCACACAAGAGGAAGGGUCACUACUAAGAUUCAGUGGGCUAUGGAUUUCUGACAGGCUGAGCUUCAAUUUUAAAAAGCGGAAUUUUGAAACAUCAAGUGUGUGAGAAUAAACAGAAGAGUCCUCAUUUGCUAGAAACAUCUCCAUUCUAAGUAAAAUAAGAUGUUGAACGACUAACCCUCAAAACAUAUUGCACAAAAUAACACAAAAGCAAAAUGCACAAAUAGGACUAUGUAAGCAGAAAUUAAUGGAUCAGAUUUCUGGCUUGGAACCCUCUAACGAGGAUUACAUGUGCGCCCCAGUAUAAUCAUAGUCGAUCAUUUGGGGAAAGGAUCCUCACAUCCAUUCAAUAUUCAAUUUCUGAUAAACAAAAAAAAACAGGGUGGCGAACAUAAACAAAGAUGGAUACGAUUUCUGGCUUGGGAUCCCUACGGGAUUACAGUUGCGCAUAGUAUAAUCCAUCAUUCAGGGAAUCCUCACUACCAUUAAGUUUACAAAUCAGAACAGAUAAACAAAGGAAAAAUACAAACAGAAAAAAGAGGGCUAGAGAAUGUCGGAUGAGAUGGAUUAGAUUUCUGGCUUGGAACCCUCUAACGAGGAUUACAUGUGCGCACAGUAUAAUCAUAGUCAAUCAUUUGGGGAAAGGAUCCUCACAUCCAUUCAAUAUUCAAUUUCUGAUAAACAAAAAAAAACAGGGUGGCGAACAUAAACAAAGAUGGAUACGAUUUCUGGCUUGGGAUCCCUACGGGAUUACAGUUGCGCAUAGUAUAAUCCAUCAUUCAGGGAAUCCUCACUACCAUUAAGUUUACAAAUCAGAACAGAUAAACAAAGGAAAAAUACAAACAGAAAAAAGAGGGCUAGAGAAUGUCGGAUGAGAUGGAUUAGAUUUCUGGCUUGGAACCCUCAAAUGAGGAUUACAUGUGCGCACAGUAUAAUCAUAGUCGAUCAGCUGGGGAAAGGAUCCUCACAUCCAUUCAAUAUUCAAUUUCUGAUGAACAAAAAAAAACAGGGUGGCAAACAUAAACAAAGAUGGAUCCGAUUUCUGGCUUGGGAUCCCUACGGGAUUACAGUUGCGCAUAGUAUAAUCCAUCAUUCAGGGAAUCCUCACUACCAUUAAGUUUACAAAUCAGAACAGAUAAACAAAGGAAAAAUACAAACAGAAAAAAGAGGGCUAGAGAAUGUCGGAUGAGAUGGAUUAGAUUUCUGGCUUGGAACCCUCUAACGAGGAUUACAUGUGCGCACAGUAUAAUCAUAGUCAAUCAUUUGGGGAAAGGAUCCUCACAUCCAUUCAAUAUUCAAUUUCUGAUAAACAAAAAAAAACAGGGUGGCGAACAUAAACAAAGAUGGAUACGAUUUCUGGCUUGGGAUCCCUACGGGAUUACAGUUGCGCAUAGUAUAAUCCAUCAUUCAGGGAAUCCUCACUACCAUUAAGUUUACAAAUCAGAACAGAUAAACAAAGGAAAAAUACAAACAGAAAAAAGAGGGCUAGAGAAUGUCGGAUGAGAUGGAUCAGAUUUCUGGCUUGGAAUCCUCUGAUAAAGGAUUACAUGUGCGCAUAGUAUAAUCAUAGUCGAUCAGCUGGGGAAAGGAUCCUCACAUCCAUUCAAUAUUCAAUUUCUGAUGAACAAUAAAAAACAGGGUGGCAAACAUAAACAAAGAUGGAUCCGAUUUCUGGCUUGGGAUCCCUACGGGAUUACAGUUGCGCAUAGUAUAAUCCAUCAUUCAGGGAAUCCUCACUACCAUUAAGUUUACAAAUCAGAACAGAUAAACAAAGGAAAAAUACAAACAGAAAAAAGAGGGCUAGAGAAUGUCGGAUGAGAUGGAUCAGAUUUCUGGCUUGGAAUCCUCUGAUAAAGGAUUACAUGUGCGCAUAGUAUAAUCAUAGUCGAUCAGCUGGGGAAAGGAUCCUCACAUCCAUUCAAUAUUCAAUUUCUGAUGAACAA